rnacentral:rRNA from 1 species
UACGUAGGGACCAAGCGUUACUCGGAAUUAUUGGGCGUAAAGGGCGCGUAGACGAUUUGAAAAGUCUUGUGUGAAAGCCCCGAGCUUAACUCGGGAAGUGCACAAGAAACUGUUGAAUUUGAGUUCCGGAGAGGAAGGCAGAAUUCCCGGUGUAGCGGUGAAAUGCGUAGAUAUCGGGAGGAAUACCAGUGGCGAAGGCGGCCUUCUGGACGGAUACUGACGCUGAGGCGCGAAAGCCAGGGGAGCAAACGGG